AAACCAAGGACGACACUACAGAUUGACGGGGGAUCAGAGUUAACGAGACAUCGUCGUCUGGGUCCUUUGCCAGAUUGAUCAUAACUCGUUAAGUCUCCCGUCUCCGGAACAAACUAUCGUCACACGUUCAUCUUUCUUUUCCUGUGUAGCGGAACGGAGAAGGAGAAGAAGGAAACGAUGGUCUCUUCAGCAGCUAGGGUUUCAUUUCGAGUGGUUUUCUUUGUUUUACUGCUCCUGGUGGCCUUCUAUAUCGGUCGUCCUCUCUACUGGAAAAUUUCUGCAACAAUUCACGAGAUCCGAGAGAAGAGACAGACUGUUAAAGAAGGGAUUUCGCAAAUCGUUCUCGAAGCCCAGAGAUCCGUCGGAUGGGUUCACGACGAAUCAGAUCCCGGAGUUAGUGAGGAUCAGAGAAUCGGUAAAACUGGAGUGGCCACCACUAGACGAAUCCUUCAGUUUGUUGAUGCGCAGCGAAGCCAAUGAUCAGGUUCUGUAGACAUUCUUGUGAACUCCUUUUCGUUAUAGAUAGUGGAACUAAGUACUAGUGCUAUCAUGGGGUUAGAUCUGGUUGUCUUGAUUGUAAUAAUGGGAGAAUCUCAGCACGUCAUUUCAGUAAAGUCCCGAACUUAUCCUAUUGCUCACCUGGAGUUCCUUGGCGAAACUUACAAUUUCUUGGUCUGAUGUCCUCGUUUUCUUUACCACACCAUCAUGCAUAUUCCUAUCUAGUUUGAUUUACCUAAUUGGGGCUCAAAACUCAAUUUUGGCGAGAAGUAUGGUCAUUCUCAUGAAUAUGCUUCCAAUGAAUGUCUUGUAAUAGCCCCAAUUAUACGUUGCUUAACUUUUCAAGUUUGUUUCCAGUCUCAAAAUUUUUCAUUGUCACUAUAAUCCAGUAUUUAUGAUCAUAUCAAUAAAUUCAAUAUGACUUGUUAGUAUUGCACCA